rnacentral:rRNA from 2 species
AGGUGCGACAAUACUACCAUUAAUGCAUUAGAUCCCAUUAGAACUUUGCAGUUAAGCGUGCUUGGGCGAUAGUAGUACUAGGAUGGGUGACCUCCUAGGAAGUGCUCAUCUUGCACCUC